AUGUCAAGCUGCAGACACCAGGGGGCAGAAGAGACUUCAUUUCUAGCAGGGCUUGCUGAUGCAGAUGCAGUGAGGUCUGCACAUUUGCUUCCAACGCUGUGCUUACAGCUUUUCCACAGUUAUGUAACUAGUUGGAAACUCAUACAAGCAGAUGACCAUCAAUCAAACACAAGUUCAGAAAUGACAGAAAUACCAUUCCAACCACUUCCAAAGCUGAAGCCAAAUGCAGAUGUUUCUGGGUCUGGCAGCCUAAAGUCAGGUGGAGGCGAUUAUUCCCACAAAGAGAUCACAGAGGAGGACGCUGCGGCUUCAGCCCCUCCUCUACUCUGUGGUUGCAUCUCAAGCCCUUAUUUGUUUAAACGGACGGCCCUGGAAAACUACACAGUUGAUGGUGAAGUAACAUUCUGA
rnacentral:lncRNA from 1 species